CGCGGCGGCGGCAGCGGCGGCGGCGGCGGCAGGAUGAUCAAGCUGUUCUCGCUGAAGCAGCAGAAGAAGGAGGAGGAGUCGGCGGGCGGCACCAAGGGCAGCAGCAAGAAGGCGUCGGCGGCGCAGCUGCGGAUCCAGAAGGACAUAAACGAGCUGAACCUGCCCAAGACGUGUGAUAUCAGCUUCUCAGAUCCAGACGACCUCCUCAACUUCAAGCUGGUCAUCUGUCCUGAUGAGGGCUUCUACAAGAGUGGGAAGUUUGUGUUCAGUUUUAAGGUGGGCCAGGGAUACCCACAUGAUCCCCCCAAGGUGAAGUGUGAGACAAUGGUCUAUCACCCCAACAUUGACCUCGAGGGCAACGUCUGCCUCAACAUCCUCAGAGAGGACUGGAAGCCAGUCCUUACGAUAAACUCCAUAAUUUAUGGCCUGCAGUAUCUCUUCUUGGAGCCCAACCCCGAGGACCCACUGAACAAGGAGGCCGCAGAGGUCCUGCAGAACAACCGGCGGCUGUUUGAGCAGAACGUACAGCGCUCCAUGCGGGGUGGCUACAUCGGCUCCACCUACUUCGAGCGCUGCCUGAAAUAGGGUUGGCGCAUACCCACCCCCGCCACGGCCACAAGCCCUGGCAUCCCCUGCAAAUAUUUAUUGGGGGCCAUCGGUAGGGGUUUGGGGGGCGGCCCAUGGGGGAAUUCCCUGCCUUGGCCUUACCUCCCCUUCCUGCCACUUGCCCCUAGUUAUUUUUUUUUUUUUUUUUUUUUUUACCACCAUGUGAUUAAGGUCGGCGCUGCCUCCCCCGACCCACUCAGCGAUGGGAAAUGAAUUGGCUUGUCUAGCCCCCCUGCUGGGUGCUUGUUCAGCCCCCACUCUGGGCUGUGGAGUGGGUGGGCAAGGGGCCUGGGUAGCUGGGCCCAGGCAACCCACCCCUCCACCUCUGGAGGUCGCACCAGGCUAUUAAAGGGGAUCUGUCUCAAAAAAAAAAAAAAAAAAAG